rnacentral:rRNA from 1 species
CACGUAGGGGCCAAGCGUUGUCCGGAUUUAUUGGGCGUAAAGAGCUCGUAGGCGGUUCAGCAAGUCGGGUGUGAAAACUCUGGGCUCAACCCAGAGACGCCACCCGAUACUGCUGUGACUAGAGUCCGGUAGGGGAGUGGGGAAUUCCUGGUGUAGCGGUGAAAUGCACAGAUAUCAGGAGGAACACCGGUGGCGAAGGCGCCACUCUGGGCCGGCACUGACGCUGAGGAGCGAAAGCGUGGGGAGCGAACAGG